GGAGACAUAUUUAUUUUAUAAUAAAAAUAGAAAUUAGUUAAAACUUAUCUUACUUUAAUAUUACCUCUUAAUAUACCUUAGAAUUAUAUUAAAAUAUAAAAAGUUUGUUGCUAGCUUUAUUUUUUUAUUUAUUUAGAUUAGGAUUCUUAUAAAAUAUGAUAUAUCAUGUAGAUUAUUUUUUUUUCGAAAACGUGUCGUAGGCUCAUAUUGCUUUAAGAAGGAAAUGAGUUCAUAAACACUCCUGAGGUAACCGUGAGCGAGAUGCAACGGGUUACCACAGAGCACACAUGACACAAGUCACCGGCUCGAACGGUGCAGCUGUAGGGUUG
rnacentral:lncRNA from 1 species